GCCGAGGUGGCGGAACUGGCAUACGCGUCGGUCUCAAAAACCGAUUUCCUCACGGAUAUGAGGGUUCAACUCCCUCCCUCGGCACCA
rnacentral:tRNA from 1 species